CAGGCAGCUGCCCGACCCCCGGAGAGAUCCCCGAGCGCUUCCCAGCGCAGUGACACUCCCCAGUCCCACGGGCACUCGCUGCAACCCAUUGGAGGAGGCUGGGGCCAAUCAGUGUUCUCCUUGACUCCAGGCUGGGCGGAUUCGAGCUGCAGAGCCGUUUCCCAGGGACUGUUCUUCUAGGAACAUCCCUGAGACCAUGUCAACACAGCAAACACACACACAGGACUCUUGUUUGAAAUCACAGCAAAGCCAAAGAUUGAAUUUGUGUGGAAAAUGAAUGGAUUCAGUACACAGAGAGGAAGGCUUUCUCUUGACUCUCAAACUUUGAAUUUCAACAAGAAUUCAAAGGGGAACUAAUGCCAGUGGGCCUCAAUCCCAGGACAGAUUAGCAUCAGCAGUGCCUAGCCUGUCCGAUGGCCCUUCAAGGGUAGUCAACUGUACAAUGAACCCAUUGCAAGGAACCUGGGAAUACACUUCAUGAGUCAGCAAGGCAUUUGGUAUCCGUAUGGACAGAAUUCUAAGGCUUAUCCAUGCCAUGUGCCGGGCAGCUUGUGUUUGGGACAAAGGAAGUACAAGCCACAUGGCAAAAGAAUAUAAAGGGCAGCUGCAUCAUCUCCCUUUUGUCUUCAUUCCUGCUUCUUCCCUCUGGAAGAACGUUUCUACAAACGAAGCUCUGAACAAAUGACUAAAUGACCCAUCCCAAGUGAGAAAAGCUACGUGUAGCUCUAAAGUUUGUCUCUUUCAACAAGAGAAGUUGGUUCAAUAAAAGAUAU